rnacentral:rRNA from 1 species
CUUAACACAUGCAAGUCGAGGGGCAGCAUGGUCUUAGCUUGCUAAGGCCGAUGGCGACCGGCGCACGGGUGAGUAACACGUAUCCAACCUGCCGUCUACUCUUGGACAGCCUUCUGAAAUGAAGAUUAAUACAAGAUGGCAUCAUGAGUCCGCAUGUUCCCAUGAUUAAAGGUAUUCCGGUAGACGAUGGGGAUGCGUUCCAUUAAAUAGUAGGCGGGGUAACGGCCCACCUAGUCUUCGAUGGAUAGGGGUUCUGAGAGGAAGGUCCCCCACAUUGUAACUGAGACACCGCCCAAACUCCCACGGAAGGCAGCAGUGAGGAAUAUUGGUCAAUGGGCGCAGGCCUGAACCAGCCAAGUAGCGUGAAGGAUGACUGCCCUAUGGGUUGUAAACUUCUUUUAUAAAGGAAUAAAGUCGGAUAUGUAUACCCGUUUGCGAGUACUUUAUGAAUAAAGAUCGGAUAACUCCGCGCCACCCGCCGCGGUAAUACGGAGGAUCCGAGCGUCAUCCGGAUUUAUUGGGUUUAAAGGGAGCGUAGAUGGAUGUUUAAGUCAGUUGUGAAAGUUUGCGGCUCAACCGUAAAAUUGCAGUUGAUACUGGAUAUCUUGAGUGCAGUGAGGGCAGGCGGAAUUCGUGGUGUAGCGGUGAAAUGCUUAGAUAUCACGAAGAACUCCGAUUGCGAAGGCAGCCUGCUAAGCUGCAACUGACAUUGAGGCUCGAAAGUGUGGGUAUCAAACAGGAUUAGAUACCCUGGUAGUCCACACGGUAAACGAUGAAUACUCGCUGUUUGCGAUAUACAGCAAGCGGCCAAGCGAAAGCGUUAAGUAUUCCACCUGGGGAGUACGCCGGCAACGGUGAAACUCAAAGGAAUUGACGGGGGCCCGCACAAGCGGAGGAACAUGUGGUUUAAUUCGAUGAUACGCGAGGAACCUUACCCGGGCUUAAAUUGCAGAUGAAUUACGGUGAAAGCCGUAAGCCGCAAGGCAUCUGUGAAGGUGCUGCAUGGUUGUCGUCAGCUCGUGCCGUGAGGUGUCGGCUUAAGUGCCAUAACGAGCGCAACCCUUGUUGUCAGUUACUAACAGGUUCCGCUGAGGACUCUGACAAGACUGCCAUCGUAAGAUGUGAGGAAGGUGGGGAUGACGUCAAAUCAGCACGGCCCUUACGUCCGGGGCUACACACGUGUUACAAUGGGGGGUACAGAGGGCCGCUACCACGCGAGUGGAUGCCAAUCCCAAAAACCUCUCUCAGUUCGGACUGGAGUCUGCAACCCGACUCCACGAAGCUGGAUUCGCUAGUAAUCGCGCAUCAGCCACGGCGCGGUGAAUACGUUCCCGGGCCUUGUACACACCGCCCGUCAAGCCAUGGGAGCCGGGGGUACCUGAAGUGCGUAACCGCGAGGAGCGCCCUAGGGUAAAACUGGUGACUGGGGC